rnacentral:rRNA from 1 species
UACGUAGGCAGCGAGCGUUGUUCGGAGUUACUGGGCGUAAAGGGUGUGUAGGCGGUUGGUUAAGUUUGGGGUGAAAUCUCCCGGCUCAACUGGGAGGGUGCGCCGAAUACUGAAUGACUAGAGUGCGGGAGAGGAAAGUGGAAUUCCUGGUGUAGCGGUGAAAUGCGUAGAUAUCAGGAGGAACACCGGUGGUGUAGACGGCUUUCUGGACCGUAACUGACGCUGAGACACGAAAGCGUGGGUAGCAAACAGG